rnacentral:lncRNA from 1 species
UAAGGAAGGAAACAUAACCAGGAAUCUACUUGAAAAGGUUAUUGGAACAAGUUCACUAUAUGUAACAGAAAAAUGGAAAGGAAGACAGUAUUUGAAGUGGCAGAUAGGAUUCAACCAGGCUCACAUAGAAUUCUCUCAGAAAACUAAAUGAAAGGAACCUCUCAAUGACAAAAACAGCUCCCUUCACUCAACUCUGCUUCUAUGGGCAUAUCAAGGCAAUAGAAUCUCUCACACCAAACUCCCACUUGCUUUUCAUCUUUGUUUUAGUUUUCUGACAUUUUCAACAGUAGCCCAUGUGCUCCAGCCCUGUACUAUGGUCUGCUUCAGGGUAACACAGCCAUGUUGGAGCAUGAGUAGUAAUUAGAAUUGUUCAAUUGUUCACUCUUUUUUUUUUUUUUUUUUUUUUUUUGAGAUGGAUUCCUGUUGGUUUGCUUGUCUUUGAAUUCUGCAAGAUUCCCAGGACCCCUUCUCUC